UGGUGGAAAGAUUUUUUUGGUUGGGGAUGGACUCGCGGCCUAUCAGCUUGUUGGUGAGGUAAUGGCUCACCAAGGCGACGACGGGUAGCCGGCCUGAGAGGGUGACCGGCCACACUGGGACUGAGACACGGCCCAGACUCCUACGGGAGGCAGCAGUGGGGAAUAUUGCACAAUGGGCGAAAGCCUGAUGCAGCAACGCCGCGUGAGGGAUGACGGCCUUCGGGUUGUAAACCUCUUUUAGUAGGGAAGAAGCGAAAGUGACGGUACCUGCAGAAAAAGCACCGGCUAACUACGUGCCAGCAGCCGCGGUAAUACGUAGGGUGCAAGCGUUGUCCGGAAUUAUUGGGCGUAAAGAGCUCGUAGGCGGUUUGUCGCGUCUGCUGUGAAAUCCCGAGGCUCAACCUCGGGCUUGCAGUGGGUACGGGCAGACUAGAGUGCGGUAGGGGAGAUUGGAAUUCCUGGUGUAGCGGUGGAAUGCGCAGAUAUCAGGAGGAACACCGAUGGCGAAGGCAGAUCUCUGGGCCGUAACUGACGCUGAGGAGCGAAAGCAUGGGGAGCGAACAGGAUUAGAUACCCUGGUAGUCCAUGCCGUAAACGUUGGGCGCUAGAUGUAGGGACCUUUCCACGGUUUCUGUGUCG
rnacentral:rRNA from 1 species